ACAAUACCACAAAAAAAUAAAUGUCAUGCUGCUAAUGAAACUAGAUAGGAAAAUAGCCAAAAGAAACCUUACCCAUUUAUAUCAUUAUUAGCAAAAUGGAAAUAAAGAUAAUGGAAUGAAACUCUCUAAAGAAAAAAUAUAUAUAAAUGGAGAAUAUGAGGUCGAUAUAAAUGGAGAAUAUGAGGUCUCACCGUCAGCUGACAGCUAAAGUAAAUGCUCAAUGGCCCAGAUUGAAUCUGAGCCGAUGCAAUUGUCAUGAUUGUAUUUCAUAUUUGAAUUUUAAUUAUUUUUUUUACAAAUCUAAAUCAUUUGAAAUUUAGAUAGUCUAUUCUUUAAAAAUAGGCGAAUCCAAUAAAAAUAUGAAAAAAUAAUUCACAAAUAUUAAAUAUAUCAAAAUAUCCUUAAAAUUUUAAAGGGUAU
rnacentral:lncRNA from 1 species